rnacentral:rRNA from 1 species
UACACAACCAAUUGCCCAAUUCAACUUACUAUACUUAAGUAAAUUUACUAAUAANUCCACCUUUACCCGGAUUUCAAACCUAAAAUUCGUAUUUCUAUUAAAAAUUGUAGCUCAUUGCUGCCCUCUUAUAAA